GAUGAACGCUAGCGAUAGGCCUAACACAUGCAAGUCGAGGGGCAUCACAUGAAGUAGCAAUACGGAUGGUGGCGACCGGCGCACGGGUGAGUAACACGUAUGCAACCUGCCUUCAACAAGGGGAUAACCCGUUGAAAGACGGACUAAUACCCUAUAACACAGGGGUCCCGCAUGGGAAUAUUUGUUAAAGGACAACCGGUUGAAGAUGGGCAUGCGUUCCAUUAGCUAGUUGGCGGGGUAACGGCCCACCAAGGCAACGAUGGAUAGGGGGAACUGAGAGGUUUAUCCCCCACACUGGUACUGAGACACGGACCAGACUCCUACGGGAGGCAGCAGUGAGGAAUAUUGGUCAAUGGACGCAAGUCUGAACCAGCCACGUCGCGUGAAGGAAGACGGCCCUACGGGUUGUAAACUUCUUUUAUACGGGAAUAAAGUGCCCCACGCGUGGGUUUGCAUGUACCGUAUGAAUAAGGAUCGGCU
rnacentral:rRNA from 1 species